AACCACUAGUGGUUGAUAAUUACUAAAACAGUUUACCGUAGCAAUGCAAAAAGGUAUGGUGCUCUUGCAUUUGUCACACAUGACUUUCGUCUCAGGUAAUUUAUUUUUGCAAUAAGGACAAGGUGUCAAUGGCUCAUUCUCAGCUUCAGGAUCCUUUGUCUUUGGAGCCUUCCUCACGAUCGCUUCAAUUUUUUUGCUACAGUUGGCAUGGAUUUGCGUUUGGUAUUCAGGCCGCAUAAAGUUGAACGCUGCAUGCUUCAGUCCGGCUCUAUGGCAUUCUAUUACCGUCGAUGUUGAAAUUGGAACGAUAUCUGAAAUGGAAUUAGGCCAUUUGAGAGAAUGGAAUUUGUUCGGUGGCAAUUAUACUCCGUUUGUUUGAAUUGAAUUCUUCACCAUCAUGAAGAAGAACAUCCUUCCUGACACUUGGAUAACCUUGUCAAGUCUUCCGGUGUUGUCGACGUUGUCUCUUGACCUCUAUCUCUG
rnacentral:misc_RNA from 1 species